UACCUCUAAAUUCCUUAUUCUGCAAACCUAAAUAGUGGUUUGAUGGCUUUAAAAUAAAGAGGAGGGAAAGUAAAAUGGAAAUGGACUUGGAGUCUUUAGUGACAAACAAGUUCAUUUCAAACAGGA
rnacentral:snoRNA from 1 species